CGGUAGAGGUCCCCUCCUCUGCCGGUCCCUGGACUCCGCCUCUCCCUGCCUUAGCUUCCGGGCUGCCCUGAGGGCUGCAGAAAAGCAAGAAGGAAAUUGGAACAGGAGGGAGUAGCCGGGACAAGUGAAGUACCACCAAGGACACUGAACCUCCCUGUUCUGAGCGCCGACUCCUGGAGGCUCUUUGGCGAGGCAUCCACCUGUCUUGGGGAUGACUGGGAUUUAUUAGAGAAGGGAAGCAAAGGAAAACAUCCUAGAGAAGGGAAGCAAAGGAAAACAUCCAGUCUCCUGAUCUGACAUUCACAGGAAGAGAAUCACCAGGAAGAGGAGCGGGUAGGGAAGCUCUGUCUUUCCUGAAUGGGCUUCCCUGCAGGGCGCACUCUGGAAA